rnacentral:rRNA from 1 species
CCUACGGGAGGCAGCAGUAGGGAAUCUUCCACAAUGGACGAAAGUCUGAUGGAGCAACGCCGCGUGAGUGAAGAAGGGUUUCGGCUCGUAAAGCUCUGUUGGUAGUGAAGAAAGUUAGAGGUAGUAACUGGCCUUUAUCUGACGGUAAUUUCUUAGAAAGUCACGGCUAACUACGUGCCAGCAGCCGCGGUAAUUCGUAGGUGGCAAGCGUUGUCCGGAUUUAUUGGGCGUAAAGCGAGUGCAGGCGGUUCAAUAAGUCUGAUGUGAAAGCCGUCGGCUCAACCGGAGAAUUGCAUCAGAAACUGUUGGACUUGAGUGCAGAAGAGGAAAGUGGAACUCCAAGUGUAGCGGUGGAAUGCGUAGAUAUAAGGAGGAACACCAGUGGCGAAGGCGGCUCUCUGGACUGCAACUGACGCUGAGGCUCGAAAGCAUGGGUAGCGAACAGGAUUAGAUACCCCAGUAGUC